rnacentral:rRNA from 1 species
AUGUCAAUGAGUAAAUUUCUUAUUAAUAUGGUCCGGUUGCAGAAAUACAGAUCAUUCAACUCUAGGAUCCAGAAUGCAUUAAACAAAAUUAAAACAAUGUACUGGUACUCAUUUGGUCAAUCUGCUACUGUACUCAUUUGACAGAUUUGUAUUUUGAUAUAAUCCAUUUCAUAGUGAUGUUUCUUGACACACAAGUGAUACUGUGCAGACAAGUGACAAUUCUUCUUUAAAUUACAAAUGUUGUAUUUGCAAGUAACUACUCCAUGUUUACUUGUCACUGUUUGCAAAUGAGAAAUUAUAAAUGUUUACUCCAUGUUUACUUCUCACUGUUUGCAAAUGAGUAAUGUUUCGACAAGGAGUACUGUGCAGUAGGAGUACAAUACUCUGUAUUUUGACAAACAAGUGCAGCAUCUCAUGUGUGAUUAUGCAUUUAUCUGAACCAAUGCAUUUAACUGAAUCUAUGCCGAAUCUAACUGAUCCUUGUACUGAUACUCCAGUCUGUUUGCAGAAUUUACAGUAAAAUU